rnacentral:snoRNA from 1 species
UUGAUUAAUGAUGAAAAUGUGCCAUGAACCAAGGAUUAUGGUUGAUCCAAUUCUGUAUGGGAGAAGUCCAUC